UCUACUCUUCUCAGGGUGGAUAGUGCAUUCUACGCCUAUAAGAGCCUAUACAGGAGCUUCAAGAUGACUUCGAUACGACCACCGUGGGACACGAGCAAGAGUUUCACUCCCGGAGAUGAUGAUAGUUGUGCUGGGUAAAUUUGUUUACUUGGAGCAUCAUAAAUAUACCAAGAGCGAACAUAAAAUAUUGAGAGAAAGUACAUUUAAAGUGAUACUUACAACAAAACUAGAGUAACGAGAUGCAUGGUAAUUGUACUGGCUAAGUUACAGACUCAGCAUAGCUUGAGGCAUAAAGCUACCUUCUGGCGUAUAUCAUUGGUGUAACAUCCACUGUCGGCUGGCUGCGCAAACUUGUUACCACAACCCUUGGACUGUUAUAGCAUCACUAGAUACAAUAAUACUUAUGGAUGGAUCACGAUUGAAUGUCAGAAGAAGGAUAAGGUGAAUGUGCCAUCAAUUUUUCAGUAGCGAAGAUCAAAGCUGCGGAACAAAGAGAUAAGAGAAAGUAUGGUAGCGUUAAGCAAUGUUUAUCAGUUUGUCCGAGAUGUUGACCACAUGGCUCGUUAUUUUUAACUUCACUUCUUUGCAUCUAAAAAAAAAAUCACUGCUAACGAUAG